rnacentral:rRNA from 1 species
UUGAACGCUGGCGGCAGGCCUAACACAUGCAAGUCGAACGGUAACAGGAAACAGCUUGCUGUUUCGCUGACGAGUGGCGGACGGGUGAGUAAUGUCUGGGAAACUGCCUGAUGGAGGGGGAUAACUACUGGAAACGGUAGCUAAUACCGCAUAACGUCGCAAGACCAAAGAGGGGGACCUUCGGGCCCCUUGCCAUCGGAUGUGCCCAGAUGGGAUUAGCUAGUAGGUGGGGUAACGGCUCACCUAGGCGACGAUCCCUAGCUGGUCUGAGAGGAUGACCAGCCACACUGGAACUGAGACACGGUCCAGACUCCUACGGGAGGCAGCAGUGGGGAAUAUUGCACAAUGGGCGCAAGCCUGAUGCAGCCAUGCCGCGUGUAUGAAGAAGGCCUUCGGGUUGUAAAGUACUUUCAGCGGGGAGGAAGGGAGUAAAGUUAAUACCUUUGCUCAUUGACGUUACCCGCAGAAGAAGCACCGGCUAACUCCGUG